CUGUCUCUUUUUCUUUUUCUUUUUGUUUUUGUUUUCCUUUUUUCUUUUCCUUUUUCUCGGGGCUGGUAAUUAAUUGAGGAAAGAAAUCUAAAUAAAAGAGAGAAGGUAUCUUCUCUUUCUCUAUCGCUUCUUUGAGGAUUUUGUUGAAUAUUUCGACAAUUUUUCGGGUCUGAGGAAGAACAGGAAGAACAGGAUGAACAAAAACACGAAAUUGUUUUUGUUGAAUCAUUUUUUUCCAAAUAUUCAGAUAAAUUCUGA
rnacentral:ribozyme from 13 species